rnacentral:rRNA from 1 species
GAUGAACGCUGGCGGCGUGCCUAAUACAUGCAAGUCGAGCGAACAGACGAGGAGCUUGCUCCUCUGACGUUAGCGGCGGACGGGUGGGUAACACGUGGAUAACCUACCUAUAAGACUGGGAUAACUUCGGGAAACCGGAGCUAAUACCGGAUAAUAUAUUGAACCGCAUGGUUCAAUAGUGAAAGACGGUUUUGCUGUCACUUAUAGAUGGAUCCGCGCCGCAUUCGCUAGUUGGUAAGGUAACGGCUUACCAAGGCAACGAUGCGUAGCCGACCUGAGAGGGUGAUCGGCCACACUGGAACUGAGACACGGUCCAGACUCCUACGGGAGGCAGCAGUAGGGAAUCUUCCGCAAUGGGCGAAAGCCUGACGGAGCAACGCCGCGUGAGUGAUGAAGGUCUUCGGAUCGUAAAACUCUGUUAUUAGGGAAGAACAAAUGUGUAAGUAACUAUGCACGUCUUGACGGUACCUAAUCAGAAAGCCACGGCUAACUACGUG